UAUCACUAAGCGGAGCAAAGGGUCCCUGCCUAGCACUAGGCGGAACACAGAGGCACCGCUUCUUUGAACUAAAGCACUCUCGUCUAUGUUCCUUGGAACAGGCACGUCCCAGAGGGUGAGAAUCCCGUGCGAUGAGAUGCCCAAUUCCAUGUAAAGUUCCUUCGACGAGUCGAGUUGUUUGGGAAUGCAGCUCUAAGUGGGGUGGUAAAUUCCAUCUAAAGCUAAAUAUUGGCGAGAGACCGAUAGCGAACAAGUACUGUGAAGGAAAGAUGAAAAGAACUUUGAAAAGAGAGUGAAAAAGUACGUGAAAUUGUUGAAAGGGAAGGGCUUGAGGUCAGACUUGGUUUUACCAGGCCAGCAUCAGUUUGGAUGGCAGGAUAAUAGCUUAGGAAUGUGGCACUGCUUCGGUAAUGUGUUAUAGCCUGGGUUGAUACUGCCUGUCUAGACUGAGGACUGCGUCUUUGACUACGAUGCUGGCAUAAUGGCCUUAAGCC
rnacentral:rRNA from 1 species